ACACUGAUAAACUAAGGUAAACAAGUUAAAGCCCUAGGAACUUCCUGAGAGUCUGCAGCAUCUAGUGGAUCCGCUAACAUUGACAUAGCUCUAGAUUAUAAUGCGGCCUAAUUGCAAUGAGUCGGCCCUGAGCAUAUAGAAUCGAUUUAAUGCUAGACUAUUCUCUAAAGUAUCAAGGCCAGUAACAAACAAUCAAAAAAGUAUAUCCCAUUUAAAUUAAAUCCGGUAAUUUAGUUACACGAAACCACCUUAAGGCCACAGGCUGUUACCGGACUCCAAUUGCAAAUUGCAAAAAUAUAAAUUAUACAAAUAUAAAUAUUAAAUAUUUACUUCGGAGAAACAGUAAACAAAAGAAGCACCGGUGAAGGUGAAAUGUUUUAACAAUCGCUCGUGGAAACGGAAUAUGAAUUCGGUUUAUCUUUCGUUGUGGCGAGAUAUAUGGGAGUGGAACAUUGCGAAGAUAAAAGUUCAGAACUUUCAAGAGAAUUCUUUGUUAUUAUUGAAAUGUAAACUGAUCUGAAUAAAACCUGGCAUUCUUUUAUCGGUAAAA